GGAGGGGGAGCGGCCUAUGGCGCUGCCGGUGGAGGAGUGGCGGCGGAGCGCUGCCCGGUGCUGGGCCGUACUGGAACCGGCGCUGAGGGAACGGCUGGCGGCGGCCCCGCUGGGCGAGGCGCUACGGAUGGGCUGCGGCCUCUUUGGGCCCGAGGAGGCGGCCUUGCAGCGGCUGUGUCGCCGGGCUCGCACGGGCAAGGAGCCGGCGGCCGCUCGCUUCUACCGGGAGGAAGGAAACCGGCAGUUCGGCCGCUGCUGUUACCGCGAUGCCGUCCGGCUGUACUCGCAGGCCGCGGCCCACGAGCCUCCCCGCAGCCCUGAGGUGGCCCUGUGCUUCGCCAACCGCUCUGCAGCCCUAUUCCACCUCGGGCACUUUGAGGUUUGUUUAGAAGAUAUUGCCAGGGCUGAAAGUCAUGGCUAUCCAGAUAGGCUGCUGCCCAAGGUCUUGCUGCGGAAGGCUGAAUGCCUGCUGCGUUUGGGGAAGUUACAGGAUGCAACAGACACCCUCACUGCAGUGGAGAAUAAAAUGACUGUAGAUGGGAUUAUGACUAGUCCUAUCCAUCGUAUGCUACUGAAAAAGUUAAGUCAACUGAAGACUGAAAUACAUGAGGGGAGCUGCCCAGAACCUGCACGAGAAGCACAUGGUGAUAUUCAAAGGGAGUCAGAGAUCUGGGAAGAGAAUGGCAGUAUUUCAGGUGCAUCUUCAUCUUUGAGCCUGAAUUUCAGUACAGAGAGAGGACGUCACUUGGUGGCCUCCCAGGACAUCCUGCCAGGACAGAAUCUGUUGAAAGAGAAGGCUUUUGUCAGUGUGCUCUGCCCAGGCGAAGGGGAUAGCCUUCUUCUACAGGACAGCAGUGAAACAGUGUGGGAUACUCGAGUCACUAAUGCAGAUCUUUAUUGCCACCAUUGUCUGAAGCAGCUCUUAGCCUCCAUACCGUGCUGUGGGUGCAGUUAUGCAAAGUACUGCAGCCAAAACUGUGCAGAUGUGGCAUGGGAGCAAUACCACAGGACAGAGUGCCCCUUGGGAGCACUGCUGCUCACGUUAGGGGUCUUCUGCCAUGUUGCCUUAAGGACUGUUCUACUGGCAGGAUUUUCAGAGGUUAGCAGGCUGGUGGAGUGGUCGCGUGAUGAUAGCAACAAAGACCUUUGUAAUGCUGAGGCAGGAGGUGAACAUCCCAGUGAGGUGCUGGAUACAAGAGCUGGAAGGAAGGUUAUCCCUGGUUGUAAUGAUAAUGGCCAGUACCAGAGUUCUUACCAAGCUGUGUUCAACCUUUUGCCACAUGUUGAGAAGCAUAGUCCUGAACAUAAGUUCCUUUGCAUGCUGAGUAUAGUAGCUAUAUGCAAAAAAUUGCAAGAAACUGGUCUAGAGGCUGCUGUUCUGAACGGGGAGUCAUCUACAACGGGAUCAGAACAAAAGACUUGUGGAAAAACAUCUGAUGAACUGUCUCCAGAGCUGAUGAUUAUGGCAGAAGCAAUGCUGAGGCAUGUGUUGCAGCUACAGUGUAACGCUCAAGCGAUCACUGUAAUGCAGGAGUUAGAGUCUGGAGAUGGUGCUGUUGUAAAUAAGAAGCCUGUGCGCCUGGCGACAGCCUUCUUUCCUGUCCUCAGCCUUCUGAACCAUUCAUGCAGCCCCAAUAUCAGUGUGUCAUUUAGUGGGACAGCUGCCACUGUCAGGGCAUCACAGCCAAUCCCAAGCGGCCAGGAGAUUUUCCAUUGCUACGGGCCUCAUCGGUGUAGAAUGAGGGUUGCUGAGAGACAACAGCUUCUCAGUCAGUAUUUCUUUGAGUGCCGCUGUCAGGCAUGCCUUGAUGAGUUAGAGUCUGAUGUCGAGAGUGUGUCCAUGAGAAACUCAUUCUGCUGCCCUAGCUGCCAGGCUUCAAUGCAGGGGGAAGAAAUGCUUUGCUGUUCAAAUGAAGCUUGUGCGUUCUCAGUCAGCAGAGAGAGAUUGUCACAGCGCUUAUUGGACCUUCAGCAACAAAUGGAGAAAGCAUUAGAGCUGCUAAGAGACAGCAAGGCUGAUGAAGCUAUCAAAAUGCUCCUGAAGUGUCAAAUAGAUGCUAGAAACUUCUUGUCACCAGAGCAUUUGCUGAUGGGAGAGCUGGAGGACCAUCUGGCACAGGUCUAUGCUACUCUUGGGAAGUGGCAAGAAGCAGCCAGACACUUGGGGAGGAGUAUUCAGCUUGUGGAAAUGCAUCAUGGGCCAUCAAGUGUAGAAAUGGGUCAUGAACUUUUCAAACUGGCACAAAUUCUCUUCAAUGGAUUUGCAGUUUCUGAAGCUCUGAGCACAAUUCAAAGAGCCGAGGAGAUUUUAUCAGUACACUGUGGUCCGCAGAGUACUCAGAUCCAGGAACUACAAGAGAUGAAAACCUGUCUGUUAGAGCUUCCCAGAAGUAUCCUUCAGAGGACUUAAUUUCCCUAUCAAAGGAAGAUUCAGUGUGAUCUUUCAUCAAAGCUAAGUUUCAUGUGGGGUCCUAUGAAACAGCGCUGGUGAGUUCAGACUGCUCUCUGGGAUCGCUCCACCCCUCAGCACUGACCGCUUCUGAAGCAUCGUGCAACUGUUAGAUCUAGAGGAUUUGACUCCCACCAAAACUGUCACCUUUGCAAAAAGAAAAAGCCUCUUCCCAGCUGCAGCACAGGUACUGGCAGGGCAGAAAAGGGAGGAGAAAAGGAGUCCCACUCCCUGAGCACAGCUCUGCUCUAGAAGCACAGCGGUGCCCAAGGAUGCUGCUGCCUCCCAACCUUUGGUGAUGCUGCUCACCUGGUGGGAGUGCCGCUGUUUGACGCCUGUGCCCCAGGACCCACCCAGAAGCCCCCAGCCUCAUCCUUGUGCCCUCUGCUUCCUUGGCUGCUGGCUGCCGAGGUGGGCAGCACACGCAGCCUCCGCUGCCCCUUACCUUGGGCUCCUCUCGGCCGCCACUGCCGCAGGAUCCCAGUGAGUGUGAGCCGGGGACAGUGCAGGCUCAGCGCAGCCACAUCUGCUUUUUGCUGCCUCUCCAGCCCAGCCUUCAGCAGGCUUCAGGUUACAGCUUCCCAGGGCGCUCUUAAAGUGCUCUGCUCCCAUUUUCUUUUGCUGUGAUCCUCUCGCUUAACUUUCCAAAGCAAAUGUGCCUUCUGUGAGAAGGGCUCUCUAACAGCUGAAACGUGGGACUGAGCCAAGUGUUCAGCAUGUUCUUCCCUGCAGUGUUUGAGCAAGCCUUUUAUUCCCUCACUUCUGCCCCGUGUCACAUGAAGGAAUUUCUUCUCUCUGUUAAUACAGCAUUGUUUAAAGAUUUAAUGGAGGGGCUUGUGAAGGGGAAGCAGGAUUCAUCUGCAGCUUAAAGCAGUUAAGGGGAAGGUCUUCGGAAGUGAUUCUACCCAAUGAUAGUUGCUAGUGAAGAAGGUAUUAAUGUAUGUGUCUUAAAGUUUUUGGCCAAAAAAAGAAAAGAAGUCUUGGUUAAAAAGAAAAAAGAAAGUUAGUGAAGAGAACGUUGUAGGAACUUAUAGAGUGAUAAGUGGUCAGGAGGAGGGAAGAGGCAGAGGGCAUUGUUUUUCAUAACAGAAGAGUCAUGGGCAGCACUCAUCGAUAUCAGCAUGUUUUUGGUGAGGUUUUUCUUUUUCAUAAGUAUUAAAGUGUAAAACUCAUUGUACCUCGAUAUUGAAGAAGAUGACAGAUAAGUGGGUUUUGAAAAAGUAAAUGAUAAAUUAAUGGACGACAGAUUUAUUGAAGUCUAACGAUGGUCAGAUGUCACAUCAUGCUCAGCAGCUGGGAGACACAAUGAGAGAACAGUUGUUUUUCUGUCCGGAGUUCUACUGUCGUGGUUUUAUUCCUCAGUCAUUUGUUCCUAGCUACUAGGAGAGAUUGACAUGAACCUGCCUGAUCCAAUGCAGCUGUUUGUCUGCUUGGAAAUGCUGGAAGUAAAUUGUGCAGUAAUGUCAGUGUCCUUAGUCUAGGUUUGUACUGGGACAUGUUUUGGGCUGCUAGCCUUGCUGCUAGGAGGUAACAAGGAGUUACUCAUGGAUGCUUGCACUGGCCUUGUACAGUCCCUCAGAUAAGAGGAAAGGAUGGUUUCAGAGGAGCAAUAGCAGCUGUUUUUGCAAGUGGGAAAAGCAAAUCAGGGAGCCUGCUUUGUGAUUAGUCAGUGCUUCAGAAGUGACCCUUUCUGACGUGAAGAGCAACAGCUCUGCUCUCAGCUGCUUCUUGCCUUGUUCAGUGAGAAGUCAUCAGCAGAGAUGUGUGUACUGGUUUGACUUCCGUCCUCUGCUGGAAAAUGAGAGCGUGAGCUGUGGAGAUAACUUCUGAUGUUGUUUGUCACUUCUUGAUACAAAGAUGGUAUUAAAAUACAUUUUAUGGAAGAACGUAGAGAAUUUUUUUGUAUCUUCUCUGUAUCUUCAAAUGAAAGCCCUUCCUUUUAAAUAAAAUCUUGGUGUAAAACUGUUUAAA